GACGAACGCUGGCGGCGUGCUUAACACAUGCAAGUCGAACGGAAAGGCCCUGCUUUUGUGGGGUGCUCGAGUGGCGAACGGGUGAGUAACACGUGAGUAACCUGCCCUUGACUUUGGGAUAACUUCAGGAAACUGGGGCUAAUACCGGAUAGGAGCUCCUGCUGCAUGGUGGGGGUUGGAAAGUUUCGGCGGUUGGGGAUGGACUCGCGGCUUAUCAGCUUGUUGGUGGGGUAGUGGCUUACCAAGGCUUUGACGGGUAGCCGGCCUGAGAGGGUGACCGGCCACAUUGGGACUGAGAUACGGCCCAGACUCCUACGGGAGGCAGCAGUGGGGAAUAUUGUACAAUGGGCGGAAGCCUGAUGCAGCAACGCCGCGUGCGGGAUGACGUCCUUCGGGUUGUAAACCGCUUUCGCCUGUGACGAAGCGUGAGUGACGGUAAUGGGUAAAGAAGCACCGGCUAACUACGUG
rnacentral:rRNA from 1 species